rnacentral:rRNA from 1 species
AUGGAGCAGGACGGCGCCGCCCGUCCCCUCGCACCAGGCCCAGGACGACGGCGCCGUGGACGGCUGGGCGCGCGACGGCACGGAGUCCCCCCUCCCUCACGGCGCCCCGGCAGAGUGCCCCGAGGCCGCAGAUCCUCCUCCCCUCCGCGGCUACGUCUCCUCGGCCGCUCGUGCGCGACCCUCAACUACUCGGUGGGAGGAGCCCUGCGACGACAUGCUCCCGCGACCCUGCAUCCGCAAGAAAGCCAUAUGGAUUGGGGAUAUGUACCUCGGUUUGGGUUUAAAGGGGCAAUCUUUGAGCAUUUGUAUAUCAACUAUCGAGGAUCUCAAGUUGACAUGGACCGCGCACUAUGA